CAUCCCUAUAAUAUUAUAUAAAUAGUUGCUAGUCAAAAAUGGAUUUUUUUGGUUCCCAGUCCUUAACAACACAUUUCUCUGGUCUUGAGUCAACAGAUGGGUUGCUCAUUACAAGAUGAAGAAAAUCCAGCAGAACUGUGUGGAGCACUGAGGGCAUAGCAAAAUUAUGGAUCGUCAGUACCAGAUGGAUCCCGUUCUGACUUCCUUGUCAGUACCAACUGGGGUACAGAUCAUCUCACUUGACAUCAAACCUGUAACCGUUAGGUGUGAAGUUAAGCUGGCUGAAGAUCAGAUUUGGCUGCUAUGGACGUUCUAAGUGCAUCUACAGAGGAAGCUUAAUCUUUCCCAUCCCAGAUGGCUGUCUUGAAAGGAAGAGGUGACAGGCCUUGGAAGUGUGAUGUCUGGGAUGCUAGCAAGGAAGUCAAGCUGGCCCUAAGAAAAAGUGAAAAAGCAUCUGGACGUAAAUAUUGCUUUCAUAACCUGGGAUUCCCCUAUUGCAUCUGUUUGCAGAGGGACUGGGCUUUUUCUUGGUGAUGGACUGACAAAUUAAUGAAGAAGAUUCAGUAUGGAUCAGAUAGAUAGAAUUGGAGCUGGAGGUCUCAGCAGCAGUAUGAGAUGCCUAAACAGUGUCACCCUAUGAACUCAGAAGGCUCAGGGUGCAUUACAGUCAUACAUGAAUUCAUGGAGUUCAGUAAAAGACUCACAGUAGAGGUCGCAUGGUCAAGGCAUCUGGCUUUUGAUCUGAAAUAUGCUGCAUUUAACACACGACUCAAACUGAUGGUGUGGAGCCAGAGCAAUGGAAAUCUGUGUCCUAAUAUGCAAUUAAGUCAUAUUAUGGG